rnacentral:rRNA from 1 species
CAUGUCUAUAUGGUUGUUAUAUAAAGUCUAGCCUGCCCACUGAUUUAGUUUAAAGGGCCGCGGUAUAUUGACCGUGCGAAGGUAGCAUAAUCAUUAGUCUUUUAAUUGAAGGCUUGUAUGAAUGGUUGGACAAAAAGUAAGCUGUCUCAAUUAUAAUAAUUGAAUUUAACUUUUAAGUGAAAAGGCUUAGAUAAAUUAAGGGGACGAUAAGACCCUAUAAAGCUUGACAAUAAUUUAAUUAUACUAUCAAUUGUUAGUAUAACUUGGUUUUAAUUAAUAUUUGUUGCGUUGGGGCGACGAGAAUAUAAUAGGUAACUGUUCUUAAAUAUUUAAUAACAAAUAUAAUUGGAAAUUAGUAUGAUCCUCUAUUAGCGAUUAAAAGAUUAAGUUACUUUAGGGAUAACAGCGUAAUCUUCUUUGAGAGUCCCUAUCGACAAGAAGGUUUGCGACCUCGAUGUUGAAUUAAGGUAUCCUUAUGAUGCAG